rnacentral:rRNA from 1 species
UUGACCUCGGAUCAGGUAGGGAUACCCGCUGAACUUAAGCAUAUCAAUAAGCGGAGGAAAAGAAACCAACAGGGAUUGCCCCAGUAACGGCGAGUGAAGCGGCAAGAGCUCAAAUUUGAAAGCUGGCUCCUUCGGGGUCCGCAUUGUAAUUUGCAGAGGAUGCUUCGGGAGCGGUCCCUAUCUAAGUUCCCUGGAACG